AAGAUACUACUUGGAGUCCUUUGCUUAUCCACAGAACAGGUCCAGCACAGGCAGCAUAAUGUAAGCCUCCCACAAACUCACUAACAUGCAUCAACUCUGACCUGGAGGGACCACCAGGAGGGUUGAGAUGGCAACUCUAAGUAUUUCUGAGAACACCUGCA
rnacentral:sRNA from 1 species